rnacentral:piRNA from 1 species
UGCCCACCCAGAACAGACAACCUUUGGUCUC